rnacentral:rRNA from 1 species
CGGGUGAGUAAAGCGGCGAACGGGUGAGUAACACGUGAGUAAUCUUCCCUUCGGUCCGGGAUAACACUGCCAACGCGGUGCUAAUACCGGGUAUCAUCCUGCCGUGGCAUCAUGGCGGGAUCAAAGGCUUCGGCCGCCAAAGGAUGUACUCGCGUCCCAUUAGCUUGUUGGCGGGGUAACGGCCCACCAAGGCUUCGAUGGGUAGCCGACCUGAGAGGGUGAUCGGCCACAUUGGGACUGAGAUACGGCCCAGACUCCUACGGGAGGCAGCAGUAGGGAAUUUUGCGCAAUGGGCGAAAGCCUGACGCAGCAACGCCGCGUGGAGGAUGAAAUUCUUCGGAAUGUAAACUCCUGUUAAGAGGGAAGAAACGCCGAUUGGUCGGCCUGACGGUACCUCUUGAGUAAGCCCCGGCUAACUACGUGCCAGCAGCCGCGGUAAUACGUAGGGGGCAAGUGUUGUUCGGAUUUACUGGGUGUAAAGGGAGCGCAGGCGGCUUGGCAAGUCAGAGGUGAAAUCCUUCCGCUUAACGGGAGUCUUGCCUUUGAAACUGCCAGGCUUGAGUGUUGGAGAGGGUAACGGAAUUCCAGGUGUAGCGGUGGAAUGCGUAGAUAUCUGGAAGAACACCAGUUGCGAAGGCGGUUACCUGGCCAAACACUGACGCUCAGGCUCGAAAGCUGGGGGAGCAAACAGGAUUAGAUACCCUGGUAGUCCCAGCCCUAAACGAUGGACACUAGGUGUUGGAGGAGUUAAUCCUUCCAGUGCCGAAGCUAACGCAUUAAGUGUCCCACCUGGGGAGUACGCUCGCAAGAGUGAAACUCAAAGGAAUUGACGGGGGCCCGCACAAGCGGUGGAGCAUGUGGUUCAAUUCGACGCAACGCGAAGAACCUUACCUGGGCUUGACAUGGGGAGGACCAUCCCGAGAGAUCGGGACUUCUGUGGAAACACAGACUUCCUACACAGGUGCUGCAUGGCUGUCGUCAGCUCGUGUCGUGAGAUAUUGGGUUAAGUCCCGCAACGAGCGCAACCCUUGUCCUUAGUUGCCAUCAGGUUAAGCUGGGCACUCUAGGGAGACUGCCUAGAGUAACUAGGAGGAAGGUGAGGAUGACGUCAAGUCAUCAUGGCCCUUACGUCCAGGGCUACACACGUGCUACAAUGGCCUAUACAAUGGGCAGCAAACCCGCAAGGUUGAGCUAAUCCCUUAAAAUAGGUCUCAGUUCGGAUUGGAGUCUGCAACUCGACUCCAUGAAGCUGGAAUCGCUAGUAAUCGCGGAUCAGCACGCCGCGGUGAAUACGUUCCCGGGCCUUGUACACACCGCCCGUCAAGCCAUGGAAGCCGGAAGUACCCAAAGUCGUUUGUCGAACCGUAAGGAGACGACGCCUAAGGUAAAGCCGGUGACUGGGGCUAAGUCGUAACAAGGUA